rnacentral:rRNA from 1 species
UACGAAGGGUGCAAGCGUUACUCGGAAUUACUGGGCGUAAAGGGCGCGUAGGCGGCCUUCUAAGUCGAACGUGAAAUCCCCGGGCUCAACCCGGGAACUGCGUCCGAUACUGGAAGGCUUGAAUCCGGGAGAGGGAUGCGGAAUUCCAGGUGUAGCGGUGAAAUGCGUAGAUAUCUGGAGGAACACCGGUGGCGAAGGCGGCAUCCUGGACCGGCAUUGACGCUGAGGCGCGAAAGCCAGGGGAGCAAAGCGGG